CGGCGGACGGGUGAGUAACGCGUGGGUAACCUGCCUCAUACAGGGGGAUAACAGUUAGAAAUGGCUGCUAAUACCGCAUAAGACCACAGUACUGCAUGGUACAGUGGUAAAAACUCCGGUGGUAUGAGAUGGACCCGCGUCUGAUUAGGUAGUUGGUGGGGUAACGGCCUACCAAGCCAACGAUCAGUAGCCGACCUGAGAGGGUGACCGGCCACAUUGGGACUGAGACACGGCCCAG
rnacentral:rRNA from 1 species